rnacentral:rRNA from 1 species
UACAGAGGGUGCGAGCGUUAAUCGGAAUUACUGGGCGUAAAGCGUGCGUAGACGGUUAUUUAAGUCGGGUGUGAAAGCCCCGGGCUCAACCUGGGAAUUGCAUUCGAGACUGAAUAGCUAGGGUACGGUAGAGGGAAGCGGAAUUUCCGGUGUAGCGGUGAAAUGCGUAGAUAUCGGAAGGAACAUCAGUGGCGAAAGCGGCUUCCUGGACCAGUACUGACACUGAGGCACGAAAGCGUGGGGAGCAAACAGG